rnacentral:rRNA from 1 species
GGCAGUCAGAGGCGAUGAAGGACGUGCUAAUCUGCGAUAAGCGUCGGUAAGGUGAUAUGAACCGUUAUAACCGGCGAUUUCCGAAUGGGGAAACCCAGUGUGUUUCGACACACUAUCAUUAACUGAAUCCAUAGGUUAAUGAGGCGAACCGGGGGAACUGAAACAUCUAAGUACCCCGAGGAAAAGAAAUCAACCGAGAUUCCCCCAGUAGCGGCGAGCGAACGGGGAGCAGCCCAGAGCCUGAAUCAGUAUGUGUGUUAGUGGAAGCGUCUGGAAAGGCGCGCGAUACAGGGUGACAGCCCCGUACACAAAAAUGCACAUAUUGUGAGCUCGAUGAGUAGGGCGGGACACGUGGUAUCCUGUCUGAAUAUGGGGGGACCAUCCUCCAAGGCUAAAUACUCCUGACUGACCGAUAGUGAACCAGUACCGUGAGGGAAAGGCGAAAAGAACCCCGGCGAGGGGAGUGAAAAAGAACCUGAAACCGUGUACGUACAAGCAGUGGGAGCACGCUUAGGCGUGUGACUGCGUACCUUUUGUAUAAUGGGUCAGCGACUUAUAUUCUGUAGCAAGGUUAACCGAAUAGGGGAGCCGAAGGGAAACCGAGUCUUAACUGGGCGUUAAGUUGCAGGGUAUAGACCCGAAACCCGGUGAUCUAGCCAUGGGCAGGUUGAAGGUUGGGUAACACUAACUGGAGGACCGAACCGACUAAUGUUGAAAAAUUAGCGGAUGACUUGUGGCUGGGGGUGAAAGGCCAAUCAAACCGGGAGAUAGCUGGUUCUCCC